GCCAUGAUGAUUACGGUAAUCUUUGGAUUACCAAGACGUAUAAAUGCACCUCUAAUUGUCCGUCUUUUAAAACAGCAUUUUCUCGAUCAGGAUCGCACGUAUUGCAAAUGUCUUCAGCGCGUAGGUACUGUGGUGGUAACACGAAAGCCUACAUGCCGAGAUAUCACUUGAUGGACUUUGAUGGGGACGGGAAGGCCGACAUGUACUGCCACAGGACUGCCACGAACCAGGAGAACAGCGUCCUCCUUGGGAGAGCCCGCCCAUUCAAGGACUCGGACCAGUGUGUCUGGACCUCCACCAACGACUACUGUAACACAAAGGGAGACCUGCUCAUCUUUGGUAAAUUUCUCCAGACAAAG